GUAUUUUAGAAUGGAUUUUGCAUCGGUUUUUGGCAGGAGUGACUCAAAAUUACCGCCUGUUCAUGUGAUGGUCCUGGAAGUUCAACCAGAGGAAAGGUGCACCCAGUGGAGGUUCUCUGAGUCGGGGGAGGUCACUCGGAAUGCAAUCAAGAGCAAUCGUACCCUCAUCGUCUGCGACGGAAAAAUUGUAAAAAAAAUAACUUUAUAUGAAACAAUAACCACAAAGGUGGAGGUUAAUGUGGGGUACAUCAUGAGGAGGAUACACCCUAAAGGGUGAGAACCUGUUCGUCAAUCGAGAAACACAAUUUUUUAAGGCAGCCAGUUUUAGUGUUUCCAAGAGCCUUAAAGAAGAGGCCACAAAUGUACUGCUGCCGAAAAGCACAGAAACAGAGGUAUCCCUGGUUAGGUCUUGCCAGGGAUUCCUCACGGUGACUGGCAAGCUGACCGAGAUCUCCAUAAUCAAGAGGGUGAUAGUGAAUCAGCAGCCGGUCCCUUUGAAAGUUGUGACUCUGGAACAUAAUUCCGCACACGUCACAGUUAAUCUGUGGCGUGAUGCCGCCCUUUGUGAGGUGAUGGUUGGUGCAGAGGUCUGCCUGACGCACCUCAAAGGGAGUGACUCUGCAUUUGGCUACCGGCUGCAGUCUUCACUCUACACAACAGUCAAGGAAACAUCAAACCAGAAGAUUGUUGAGGUCCUGGGGGCUUAUGAGGACAGCGCAAGGCCAAUGACUUACGUCCUACUGAUCAUGGGUGGGGAUACAUUCAGUAUUCCAGCGCAGCUAUGGAUCCCUCUGGAGCCCAGAGUGGAGGAGCCACCGUUCUUGCUGAAAAUACAUUACACGGGGGAAAAAUCACAGAGGUGGAGGAGGUGAAAGAAAGAGAAAAGGAGGCUAUGGGGGAGGAAUAAAAGAUCACAAUAAUUAAUUUAGUUUUUCAAUUAA